ensembl:lncRNA
AUCAUAACAUCACAAACCACUUUACAGGAGGCAUUACUUUCAGAGCAACCUACAUAAAACGGAACAGCAAAACAGUUACAGGGACAACAAGCAACCAAGCAUGGACCCGAGGGUGGCCAGCAGCACAGCUGCAUUGGUGCCUUUCCGUACCUUUAUGAUGUGACCUCUGGAGUUCUCAGCACCGGUACCUGGAAGAAGCGAGACAGUUCUCUGUGUUUGUGAGUUCUGCACUGCUGAAUGUCUCCCAGUGUGUUGACAAUCCCAAGCGAUUAUCUUCUGCAUUUGGUUUCUGUCCCUCAUUCCCCUGCCAGAGGAUGGGGAUGAUCAGAUCCAGUCACCCACAAAGAAUGCACUCAAGUGAAAGGCUGAACUGUUGCUGCCUUCAGCUGUGCUUCUGGACUUUGUACAAGGACUGUUUGCUGGGGACCCUGGAUUCAUCAGGAGUAUAAUAAAGUGUACUGAAGUCAUUAAAAAAAAAAAAAACAUGGCAAAGGAAGGUGAAUGCUGCUUGAGUAUCUGGAACAACAUUCAACUCACAAGCCGGAUAAACAUGGCCUACAGCUACAACCAUAAACACAUAGGGAAAAGUCCCCCAGAUGUUGCCAAGUUUUAUGUUAAGUGCAUGGAAGGGGAGCAGGGGAAAUGCACAGAUCUAGACAGCCAAGGCUGCAGAGGUGCCUGGCUGACCUGGAUGGAGGAGCUUCAUGUUCUCGACAUACCCAAGUGAUCCCUCAGUGGCUCAAAAUCAGGGUCCUGCUGCUCAACUGCAGAGCCAGCAGCUGUGUCUGCAUCUACAACUGGAGGCAGAAGAGGACGGCUGCUAUGAAAUACUCCAGUAUCCUUCCUCAGCUUUGAAUGGCAGGGAAUGCACCUUGGAUACACAAUUACUGCCUCACAGUCUUCUGCCAGCAGGUCCCACUCUGCCCUUGUUCAUGGCAGAGCAUUAGCGGGAAGCAGUCUGUUAUGUCCCACAUGAACAAAAGCUGGAAUGAAACGUGUGUUCUGUGAGAAAAGAAAAAUAAAUACUUCAGGAUGCUUCCCUGAUCCAUCUGAGGGGUGUUCUUGAUUUCCUGAGUGACUCACAAAGACUUUCAAGCAGUAAUCUUGUGUUGCCAGAAGAUGGUGUGCUUCCACUGCAUUGUGCCACAGGCAGCGCAAGGAAGGGAUUCCAUUGGCAGGGUUGUAUGGGCUCUUCUGGUAAUUUAACGACAGUCAAGGUGAAAUCAGUUAAGGUGAAAUCCGAAGGAGUUUGUAUUUCACACAAAUUGUUUGUGAAUGAGCACUUGCCUGUAUCUAUUUUCAGGUAUAUUCUGCUUCUCAUCUCAAUGGACUUUGUAGAUAAAGUCAUUUUAUCAAAAUAAGCUUAUUAAAUAGUAAUAUU